AGAGUUUGAUCCUGGCUCAGAUUGAACGCUGGCGGCAGGCCUAACACAUGCAAGUCGAACGGUAACAGGAAGCAGCUUGCUGCUUCGCUGACGAGUGGCGGACGGGUGAGUAAUGUCUGGGAAACUGCCUGAUGGAGGGGGAUAACUACUGGAAACGGUAGCUAAUACCGCAUAACGUCGCAAGACCAAAGAGGGGGACCUUAGGGCCUCUUGCCAUCGGAUGUGCCCAGAUGGGAUUAGCUAGUAGGUGGGGUAACGGCUCACCUAGGCGACGAUCCCUAGCUGGUCUGAGAGGAUGACCAGCCACACUGGAACUGAGACACGGUCCAGACUCCUACGGGAGGCAGCAGUGGGGAAUAUUGCACAAUGGGCGCAAGCCUGAUGCAGCCAUGCCGCGUGUAUGAAGAAGGCCUUCGGGUUGUAAAGUACUUUCAGCGGGGAGGAAGGGAGUAAAGUUAAUACCUUUGCUCAUUGACGUUACCCGCAGAAGAAGCACCGGCUAACUCCGUGCCAGCAGCCGCGGUAAA
rnacentral:rRNA from 1 species